GUUGGGUAUACACUGCUCAAAGAAUGACAAGGCAUUAAGCGAAGCUAGAUAGAGUAUCAAAGCAGUACUGUUUCAGAUACAGGAAGAAUAGUGAACAUUUGAAUAAUGGAACUUUUACUGUUUCGUGCGUUUCUAGUAAUCAACGCAUUUAACAUCGCAACAGAAAAUCCGGUUACAACGAAACCUUAUCGAUUUCCUGUUUAUCCUGUUAACGAAUGUCCUAGAAGCAAAGAUGAGUUUAAAACAGCAGCACAAAGAAGAAAUUGCACAAAAGGGUUACGAUAUCUGUGUGCCCCCAAUAAAUACCUAUCAUCUCUAAUAGAAUUUUGCACAGACCGACAAAUAGGUCUUUAUCAAAAAGGUAACUGUGUAAUACUGGAAGGUACAGGUGACCUGGAUCAUUACAGCUGUGUGGAAAAAUUCAACAGUAGCUGUCCUUUGGAAUUUUAUAAUGACGAAGAAAUCUAUAAAUAUCCAGCGUGCCUAGAAAUUGAUAAGGAGCUCCGGUGUUUUGCUGCUGAUAACGGCUGCAAAAAAAGAGAAUUUAAUACUACAAAUUCAAAUCUCAACAUUUCCAAACCGGAAACUGUCGGGGAUGAAACUUUUAGAGGAGCUUCUCGUGGAUGGCUUGCAAUUGGUUACAUAAUUGCAACUGCUGUAGUUUUAGCGGUGAUAAUACUAAGCUGGAUCAUAUUUCAGAAAAGAAAAAGGGAGCAAGUUGAGAAAUGUAAAGAUAAUAAUGAAAAUGGGUCUUUACUAAAAGAUAACCCGGAAAUAGAUGAUGAUAAACUCCGACAGUUCCUAAGUAAAGGCGAGAUUACCGUUUGCCAUGUUAGAUGCAUCAUAGUUGGUUGUGGAAAAGCGGGAAAGACGACUCUUUUAAAACGAUUACAAAAUGUUUCCUUUGACGAAUUGAUGCAGAUUGAACGGACAGAAAUGGUAGAUUUCCACGUUAACAGUUUUGAGGUUCUGUUAGAAGAGGAAACGAUAAAAAGUGUAGAAAAAGAAGACACAUUACCAACAAUUUUGUUUUCGAAAGAAAAACUGGAGAUGCCACUCAAAGAAAAUGAUGGAAAAAUGGCAAAAGAAACACACCAACCAGGUAUCAGAAAAAAAAAUGUUUCUGAGAAAUCUUCACUGAAAAAUACAACACUUGGCCAGAUAGAAAACAUACCAUUGGUUAUACUUAAAAACCAAGCCACCAACGAUAAUACAGAAGAUGAGGAAAAAUUGAUAUUCGAACCACACUCCCCAGAUAUUGAACGUAAUGAAAAACAUGGCGAGGACAUUGAUGCAAAUGUAGAUAAAAUCGAUUUUGAAAAGUUUGCUAUUUUAAAAAUAAAAGAUGCUGUGAAUGAGUUAUUGAAUGAACAAGAUUUGCGUCCACGAAUAACCUUUUUAGAUUUUGCAGGACAAAGUAUGUACUAUGCUUUUCACCAAAUAUUUCUUCGUCCUAAAUCAUGUUCUAUAUUAGUUGUGGAUAUGACGAAAAGUCUCUAUGACAAAGUUAGUGAUCAGGAUGAAAAUGAAAAGGAAUAUAGCCAAUUUGCCUCAUGGAGAUACAAAGACUAUUUCAAAUUUUGGUUGAAGUCUAUUGACAGUUUUAGUGAUACCGAGUCUCCAGUAAUAAUUGUAGGCACUCAUGCAGAUAAAUUAUCAAAAGAAGAAUGUCGCAAAUUUCUUAAGAGUCUCAAUGAACUCUUUGAUAAUUGGUCUCAUUCUGGUCUUAGAAGACAUCUUAAUGAAGACCGAAUGUAUACAAUAGGUUUUCCGGAUUCAGGAUCAGAAUUGGAGGAUUUAAAGGACCUAAAAAAAUGCAUUGCUAAUAUUGUGAAUUGCCCUCGUUAUUCGAAAGAAAAUAUUCGACCUGUCUGGGCAUUAUUUGAACAUAUAUUAAAUAAAAUGAAAGAAACUGAAAAAGUAAUUCCACGGAAAACAUUAUCAGAUUACAGUGACCAAUUAAGCACUGAGGAAUUUAGGAUAGACGAGUCAGAAAUUUCUAAAAUGUUGGUCUUUUUUCACAGAGUUGGUGUUCUGUUAUACUUUGAUAAAGAUGGCUUGAAGGAAAAGAUUAUUCUUGAUAUCCAGUGGCUCCUUGAUGCAUUUAAGUGUAUCAUUGAAUACCCUGUCAGACCAGAGGAAAACGAUAUGAAGCGUAGGCAUUUUUGUCGCACUGGUGAAUUAGACAGUGUAGAACUUGAUAGAAUUUGGCAUAUCCAGGGAAAAGAUUAUCUGAAGCACAAAACGACAAUAAUAGCAUACAUGCAACAGCUGGGAUUAUUGAUGCAAUUAAAAGAAUUGCAUUCCAUUGACUCUACUGUGUAUUAUUUCCCUAGCAUGAAUAGUAAAAGGUUUGACAAGACUGGUGAGAACAAUUCAAAGUCCUCUAUUCUCUGCUUCAAGUUUGAUGAUGAAAUGCAGCUUCAAAUUAAUAUUUUUCAUGGCAUAGUUUUAAAAUGUUCCAAACUAAAUAAUUGGUCCAUAUUGACCGAAGGAGCGAAGAAUAACAUUUGUCUUUACCAAAAUGCAGCAUGUUUCUCUUUCCAAAAACAUGUUGUGGUUUUAUGCAAUUGCAAUUUUGAAAUUCGGGUGCAGGUCUGGGCAUCGCCAAAUAUAUAUGAUGGAAGACUACUUAAAAAGAUAAAACAUUCAGUGGAGGAUAUUAUACACGAUGACGACCUCUCUUAUGAAAUUGGUUACAAAUGUCGAAAAGAUGUGCUCAAUAUUGAAGAAGACGUAUCAUUUAUUUCCCAGAGAACUUGAAAUGAAUGAUGAAAAUCAAGAAAAAAAUACUUUGCCGCUGUCCCUUGAGGAUUACCCGUGUGACAAAAAUAACAUCAUUUCACAAUGGAGAGGGAAAGAUGUACUAUUUGGAUCUAGAAUUGGACUUCAAGGCACAAAUACAUAUGGGUGUGUCGGGUUUCUGGUAAAAUCGAACGUCGAUUCUACUGUACCCGUCACUGGUUUUCUCACUACUGCACAUAGUGUAAUCAAAGAAUAUGAGGAAUUGUACGACGCGAACUGUAUGCUUUCAGAAUAUAAACAAAAACCUCAUUGCAUGAUGGCCAAAGAGCCACAAGUUGUUGUUCAAUAUACCGAUUUGAAAUUUACAACCCCUGAGCCAGUGGGAGAAGUUGUCGAAGCAUUCUGCGGAAACUAUGUACCGCCUGGAAGCGACUGUGUCUUUGGAAUGGAUGCUGCUUUUGUAAAAUCGUUCAAUCCAUACAUGGGAGAAAUUCGUCCAAUAUCGACUGCAGAUGAUUCCACUCUCACGUUUGAUGGAACCACAGUCGUCAUCAAAAGAAACAAACUUACUGGGAACACAUAUGGGGUGUUAAUAAGCGACAAAUUGAGCGCCAUUGUUCAGAGUUCAGAGAAAGCAGAAGGUUUUUUUUUCUUCGACAACUGCUUUGGAGUUCGUAGUAUGAAUAAAGACAAACCCUUUUUCAGUAAAGGAGAAUCUGGAUCUGCUGUGUAUGUAAAAGGAAAAAAUAAUAUCUUGAUGCCUCUUGGAAUUGCAUUCGCUUGUCAAGCAGAUGGAGUGACGUACGUAUGUAGGAUAGACAAAAUAAUUCAAGCUUUUAAUGUAUCAAUAUAUCAGGUGGAAGAUGAAGAAGAUAUGGAAACGGAGGAGUAUUCAUAGGAAUUAGCUGUACCAUUCAUUCAGUACCAUUCAGUCAGCUAAAUGUCAACUGAAGGGCAAGGCUAUGUCAUUCAGUUAUAUUAAGUUAUCUUACCUUUAUUUUUUUUAGUUAAGAAUACUUUUAUGUAUACAUUGCAUUUAAAGAACUGGGCACGGUAAACAGCAAAAUCGGCCUAGUUUUCAAAGUUGAUGAAAUUUUAAGUAAAAUGUAUAUAUAAAAACAUGUAUAAGUAUUUGUAUUUAAAUAUGUGUAAUAAAUUGAAAAGACUUUAAGAAAAUUAAUUUACCUGAUGACUUUACACAUGACUUUAUACGUGGCGUUACAGUUCGCAUCGUCCCAUUGUCCAAGUUGUUUAAACUAAUUGUUGUUGAAACAGUUCUGAUCGCCCCUCAAAAAACAAUAUACAGUGGUAUGUUCAACGUUAUUGUUGACAAGCCAAUCGUUUUAAAUAGUUCGUGUAACGUGGGUGAUCGUUCGUGUAACGUAAAUAAAAACCAGAGUUGUAUUUUUAUUGAAUCCGUUAUUGUCGUGUGAUAUUUGAUUUCGGGUUACAAAUCGUACACGGAAUGUGUAUCUGCAUAAAUAUUUAUUCCACUUGUAUGUAAAAUAAUUCUUUUCUAAUGCAUCAUUUUCCUCUAUACAGAAAGAAAUGUUUCAUGAUAUAUUUAAUAUCAACUUUAAACAAGAGUUGGAUAUUUAUAAUUGUUACCAAAAAAAAUUCCAUUUGUACAUGUUCUUUUUCGAAUUAUGCCCAUGUCAGUUUAUUCGUGAAGAUCGUUUAGAAAUGAUUAUGAUGGGCAUCGUUUAUUCUUUCCUAUCGUGUAUCAAUCGUAUCCUAUCGUGAGGGUAUACUGAUCUAUCGUGAGGUAAUCCUAUCCUGUCGUGCGUGUAUACUGUUAUAUCGUGCGUUAAUCCUAUCAUAUAUCGUGUAUUAAUCCUAUUCUAUCGUUUAUCUUGUAAAAAAUAACGUUGCAGGUACUGUACUUGUAUCUCGCGUAAAUAAGCGUGCGUAGGGGAAUCGGAUAACAUAAACAUCAAUUCUAUGUAAAUAUUUUUCUGUAGUUAAUGCAUUAUCUUCAUUUUUAGCUCACCUGAGCUCAAAUUUCAAGUGAGCUAUUCUGAUCACAUUUUGUCUGUCGUUCGUCUGUCUGUCCGUCUGUAAAGUGUUCACAUUUUCAACAUCUUCUCAAGAACCACCGGGCCAAUUUCAACCAAACUUGGCAGAACGCAUACUUAGCUUAAGGGGAUUCAAAGUUGUGAAAAUUAAGGACCAUGCCCUUUUGCAAAGGGAGAUAAUUAGGAAUUUAUGGAAAUUUCGAGAAAUUUUCAAAAAUCUUCUCCUCAUGAACCAUAAGACCAAGAAAGCUGAAACUUAUGUGAAAGCAUACUCAGGUAGUGCAGAUACAGAGUUGUGAAAAUCAUGACCCCCGGGGUAAGUUGGGGCCACAAGGGGGGGGGGGGUUAAAGUUUAACAUAGGAAUAUAUAAAGCAAAUAUUUAAAAAUCUUCUCCUCAGAAACUAAUCGGCCAGGAAAGCUGAAACUUGUCUGGAAGCAUCCUUAUGUAGUGUAGAUUCAAAGUUGUGAAAAUCAUGACCCCCUGGGUAGGGUCAGGCCACAAUGGGGGGUCGAAGUUUAACAUAGGAAUAUAGAGUAAAUCUUUAAAAAUCUUUUUCUAAGAAACUAAUCAGCCAGGAAAGCUGACACUUGUGAGAAAACAGGUAGUGUAGAUACAAAGUUGUGAAAAUCAUGACCCCCGGGAGUAGGGUGGGGCCACAAUGGGGGGGGGGUCGAAAUUUUACAUAGGAAUAUACAGAGUAAAUCUUUAAAAAUCUUCUUCUCAUGAACCUUAAGGCCAGGAAACCUGAAACUUGUGUGGAAGCAUCCUCAGCGCGGGGGUGUUAAGGAAGCAUAUGGAUUCUGAGUUACAUGUAAUUUCGUGAUAUCACAAAUCUUAGUUAUUAUGUACAUAUUCAAAUAUCUCAGCAACGAAACGUAGACCAAUAGCAAAUAAAAAUACUGAAGUCAAUUUUUUUUCAGAAAUUAGUU